rnacentral:sRNA from 1 species
AUGGACCAUGCGUGCGUUCCGGUUCCUGCGCGCCGUCGCACCCAGCUGGCGACUGCUCGCUAGGUUUUUUAGCU